CUUAAAAGGAGAGGUGAGCAAAAUACGCAUUUAUCUCUGGGAAUCAAUUUGACUUUAUUUUCUUUCAACGGAUUCAGAUUCCAGCAUUUAUUGAUAGGGAGCGCGAAUAUCGUUUUUUAGCUGUUGUCCCUGAAUCACUAGAUGGGAAGCCCUUUACCAAUCCAGCAGUUCUCUGUGCUUCUUACACUGAUGAGGAAUUCUUUAAAUUUAGAUGCAACAGCAUCCAAGCUUAUAUUCUGUUAGAAAAUAUAGUAGAUUAUGCAAAAACACUGAACUGCCGUACGCUUAGGGUUUUAAGAGGAAGAAAUGAAAAGAAUCUCUUCUUUUUUUAAUUUUACUUGGUAACUCAUACAACACACAGUACUUUUUUUUUUUUUUUGUGUUAAAAAUACGACAUACUACUUCUUUUGCAACUAAUUUGUAACAUUUCCUAUGUUACUCGUAUUGCUUCCAAUAUAGUUAUCCGAUCAGUUUAUUAUUUAGUGAUAAAAAGAGUGCUAACAAUAUAUUUUUUUAACACCCUAGAUAAAAAAAUAUAUUCUCCGACACCGCCUUAAAGCAACAUAUGUGAUAUUUUGAUCAACGUGCCCCCCUUUCUAUUUAACUGUGUGUUCUCCUUCUAAUUGUCUUAAAAGUUAAAAACUGAUUUUGGUACUUGUUAACUGAAAAUUUUGUUUUAAUGUAAAUGUAUAGUUAAAGGGUUAUAAGGUUGACUUUGUGUGGAGCAAGAAGGGAGGGAAUGAGAGAUUAUAAGUUCGAAUCAUUUUGUUAAUAAAAAUUAACAACUAAUAUUGAUCGAUAAAAAAAAUAUAAUUUCAAUUAAUUUAAACACACAUCUUAAUCAAUUAAAAUUAAACUAACUAGAAAAAGUUAUAAGGGCAUGUCAAUUAUAUCUUCCACAUGAGAAUGUAAAUUUGGAAUUACCAAAGUGAGGCCAACAUAAUUACCUCCUACUAGCAUUGGUUCCUUGUUAAGGUUUCUUAAUAUUUUAUUAUUACUUUUAGCCUAAGAAGCCAACAUUUUUUAUUUUCUUUGGUGAGAUAAGAAGCCAACAUUGUAUUGAGUUUGCAUCACAUCAAACUAGAUUAAUUGAGAUGUUACAGGGUGAAACUUACUCUGCCUCGUGUUAGCGUGAGUUUUUAUCUUUUCCCCUCCUAUAUUUUACAUACCAUAUGUCCGUGACCUUUUUAGAACAGAGGGCCGAGAAAAAUAUUUUCAACAAUUCGGGGAGUAUAAGAUCCAUAAGAUUUGGCGGGAUGGUGUUUUACCAUGCCCUGUUUAUCUUGGUCACUGUGUCCUGGCUGCAAAAAGCCUCGGUGAUGAAGUCCACAAUAACUUUUUGGAUCAUACUUUCCUUGCUGACCGUAAAACGACCAUACAUCAGUACUUUGAAAAAGUGAGUACAUGCAUCUUGGAAGAAGAGCCACCUGAGUCUUUGAAAACCCGUUAUGGUGGUUGAUGUCAUGAGAUGAGAGAGUCAAUAUAGUUCUCAAUUCGCCAUUUCUGAAUUUGACUGUUCCAAUUAUUUCUUAUUUUAGCACAUCUGGAUCGAAGAGUCACAGCGGCGAACGUUGAAUGGCGGCGACAAGUAGUAGUUGUUACAAAACCAACAAAACAGAUUUCUGUUUUCUAGGAUGAAAAUGUAUUAGUGCAUGUUUGUUUUUCUGUUAAAACCUUGGCUGCACGAAUUCCCAUACAUUUAAACGGUCGUUUGCACAUUACGAGACUCCAAAAGCAGAAAUAAUUCCUUUGUUACUUUUGAAAAAUCGCAAGUUACCUUAAUAGGCCAGCAAAUGUUUACUGUAGAAUAAUAUUUAUAUACUGUGAAUAAAAACUGGCAACAGCGCCCUUUCAACAAAUAUUUAUAGAAAAA